CGCAAUUUAUUAACCAGAAGCAACGAGAAAGAAAAAGAAAACAGAAAAUGGCUCAAAUGGCUACUUUGACAGGAAAGCAAGCUAAUGAAUACUUGAACGCAAGGCCAACAUAUCCCACGAUAUGGUACAAAGUGUUGGCUGGUCGAACCAGCAACCAUAAGGUCGCUUGGGAUGUUGGAACCGGCAACGGUCAAGCUGCUCUUGGUGUCGCUGAUUACUACGAAAAAGUGGUGGCAACUGAUAUAAACGAAAAACAAAUCAGUCUUGCAAAGCCGCACCCAAAAGUCACAUACCUUCACACUCCAGCAUCGAUGUCAGACGACGAUCUAGUGGCUAAACUCGGUGGAGAAAACUCCAUAGAUUUCAUUGUAGCCGCUCAAUCUCUCCACUAUUUCGACCUUAAAAGAUUCUAUGCCAUAGUGAGACGUGUUCUUCGUAAAGAAGGGGGUGUGAUCGCGGUUUGGGUCUACAACGACCUCGUGGUCACCCCAACGGUUGAUUCCAUCAUGAAACGUUUGGUAGAUUCAACGAAACCGUACAGAACCCCGACUAUGAAUCUGGCGUUUGAUGGUUAUAAAGCAAUAGAGUUUCCUUUUAAAAAUAUAAGACUUGGGAGUCAAGGAAGACCUAAAGCUCUCGAGAUUCCACAUAAGCUUUCGCUUGAUGGGUAUUUAGGGUUUUUUAAAUCUUGGCAGCCUCUGGUGAAGGCUAAGGAGCAAGGAGUAGAGCUUUUAAAACCUUCGAUGAUUAAUGAGUUUAAGGAGGCUUGGGGUGAUCAGAAUCAAGUCAAAGAUGUUGCUUACAGGGCAUUUAUGCUCGCUGGAAAACUUUAGGAUUACGGAACUGCACAAGUAUACAAGUAGAGCAUACAGUGUACGCUACACGCCGCGUCUACGACUUGUACAAACUCAAUUUCACACGAGUCUUCGUCUCCAUCGUCAAUGUGAAAGUGAUUAUCUUUACUUAUUUAAAUUCUAUGUAUAUUCUAAUUUCAUAUCUAUAAUUUCCAUUUACCCAAAGUCACGAUAUAUUUUUCAAAUGAGUUGAACGAUUCUUGGUGAAAUUGGUAAAAAACUUCUCAUAAGUUGAUUAUUCGAAUAUCAAGAAAAGUAACUUGAUGUUAUUAUCUUGAAUCUGCAAGUCCUAACUAAGAGUUUUAUUCAUGACCCCGUCAACAAAAAAAUGUAUAAGGCUAUCGAGCAUGAUAACUUUUCAAAAUAUUAUACUAUGAAAAUUCAUAAAACUAACAAAGUCUAUGUUAAAUAUUCUAAAAUGAUAAUGUAUAUGGAAAGUAUAAAGCAAUACACAAGAACAUUUUGAUUUUUAUUAGAGUACAAGCCCAAUCGGAUUGAUACACUCUCAUCCUCUGCAAACUUUGACCACUUUGCGAUAAUAUAUCAAAAUUAGAAACUUUUUUGAGUAUUUGCAGUGUACACACAAGAAUUAUGUCUUAUUUAGGUGGAUACCCAUUCACGAUUUUCGACACUUUCUUCAAAAAUUGUUGGACGAUUAUACCCCUAUUUCUGUUGUCACACAAGUUGAUAUUUUUUAAUAAUUUAAAUAUUUAUUAUGAAUAUUUAUCAUAAAAUACAAUUUUUCUCUCUCUAUCUUAAAAAAAGAAUCUAACGAAAGGCAUCUCACUUCUCCUUACUACCAUCCUUUCCACCCCCACCAGCACCACCACACUCCCACCACGUCUCCGCCGCACCUUCCAGUAAUGAUAAUUUUCCACAACCUAACGAUGUAUCUUCUUCUUCUCCUUCUCAUCUCGCGGUUUACCCUCACUCCGCGCCGUCGUCUUCAGCUCUGACGGCUCCGAUUGAGCCCAGUCAGGAGAAAGAAAAGUCGUCCCAGGAAGUACGACACCCGGUGCAAGCCUUAUCUGCUAAUAAAUUGGCAUCUUUCGCCACCGGUGAGCUUUGGUAUGGACCUGUUUGGUUCAGCUUUUCGCCGCCUGUGAGCUUUGGUCUUCCUCCUCCGAGUCAAAAAUUAUACCAGCAAUGGUUCUAUUUGCACCUGUGUAGUGGUGGACUGAAUCAAAUUUUAUUCAUAAAGAUUGCAGACACUAUGUUUUGUUUUGACCACCAAAGAUGUGUGUGUCCCUUUUUUUUUGGAUUUCGAUUUGCACAUGUUAGCAACAUACAUUUGCUCACUACCUUGCUAUGAAUUUGCUUAGCUUCUAUUUAUGAAUAUUGCCCUCAUUAUGGUCUGCUUAUAAUCUACAAACUGCAAAACAUUUUCUCGUUUUUUCAUAUUUUUAACAUUGUUAUUCAAGUAAAUGUUUCAGGUUCUAGUCGCCGACGAUCAUGAGGCUGAAGAAGUCUCUAAGGGUGACGGGACCGACAUUGUCCAGCAAAACAAGUUCUAGACCUGGGAAUUUUACCCUGACAUUCAUUUAAAUCUAACAGCUACACAUCAUAAUAAGAAACAAUCUCCUGCAGACUUUGUCAACCAACCAACAUCAGCUUUAGUGCACCGCGAUGCCAAUUCAGAUUUGGUUUGUAGUUUUGCUUCUCGCCAAUCUCUGCAUCUAAACGACGGACACUCUCGACACGAGACUUGGAGCCCUCUGAGAUUUUCUAUUAUCUUAAUCGUGUUGUUAUUUUGUGAUGUUGUCUGAGCACCCUUUGGAUGUUUCUGGUUCUCGCUUUUGAUGUAUUAAUGAACUACGACUAUGUAAUAUUGAACCUUGUUUGAGUUUUGAAACAUCUCUGUUUAAACACAA